CCAAGCAUUUCCCCAGGUGAGCGUUCCAGCUUUGACUGAUCCCUUUGAGCGGCUCCUUUUGGAUGCUGAAUGCCCUCCCCUCUCCUGGCAGCUCCGGAACCUUCCCAGAUGCGGCUGGAAGAGGGACCACCCUUCCUGGAGACCUGAUCCCAGUGAAGGGUGACAGCCAGGAAUAGUUGCCGUUUCCAGGGAGCUAUGGAUGAAUUAUAGAUCAAACCGGGCCGGGAGCCAAUUUCAGUGUCCUGGGACGCGUCCAAACCAUGUGAAAAGGGUUUUGUAACACGCAAUAAAAGAAUUUAUUCUCA